GAACACGGAGCUUGCUCUGUGGGAUCAGUGGCGAACGGGUGAGUAACACGUGAGCAACCUGCCCCUGACUCUGGGAUAAGCGCUGGAAACGGCGUCUAAUACUGGAUACGAGUAGCGACCGCAUGGUCAGUUACUGGAAAGAUUUAUUGGUUGGGGAUGGGCUCGCGGCCUAUCAGCUUGUUGGUGAGGUAAUGGCUCACCAAGGCGUCGACGGGUAGCCGGCCUGAGAGGGUGACCGGCCACACUGGGACUGAGACACGGCCCAGACUCCUACGGGAGGCAGCAGUGGGGAAUAUUGCACAAUGGGCGCAAGCCUGAUGCAGCAACGCCGCGUGAGGGAUGACGGCCUUCGGGUUGUAAACCUCUUUUAGCAGGGAAGAAGCGAAAGUGACGGUACCUGCAGAAAAAGCGCCGGCUAACUACGUGCCAGCAGCCGCGGUAAUACGUAGGGCGCAAGCGUUAUCCGGAAUUAUUGGGCGUAAAGAGCUCGUAGGCGGUUUGUCGCGUCUGCUGUGAAAUCC
rnacentral:rRNA from 1 species